rnacentral:rRNA from 1 species
CAGCCGCCGCGGUAAUACAGAGGGUGCAAGCGUUAAUCGGAAUUACUGGGCGUAAAGCGCGCGUAGGUGGUUUGUUAGGUUGGAUGUGAAAUCCCCGGGCUCAACCUGGGAACUGCAUCCAAAACUGGCAGGCUAGAGUAGGGCAGAGGGUGGUGGAAUUUCCUGUGUAGCGGUGAAAUGCGUAGAUAUAGGAAGGAACACCAGUGGCGAAGGCGACCACCUGGGCUCAUACUGACACUGAGGUGCGAAAGCGUGGGGAGCAAACAGGAUUAGAUACCCCCGUAGUCCCUGUCUCUUAUAC